rnacentral:rRNA from 1 species
CCUACGGGGGGCUGCAGUGGGGAAUAUUGCACAAUGGGCGCAAGCCUGAUGCAGCCAUGCCGCGUGUGUGAAGAAGGCCUUCGGGUUGUAAAGCACUUUCAGCGGGGAGGAAGGCGUUAAGGUUAAUAACCUUGGCGAUUGACGUUACCCGCAGAAGAAGCACCGGCUAACUCCGUGCCAGCAGCCGCGGUAAUACGGAGGGUGCAAGCGUUGAUCGGAAUUACUGGGCGUAAAGCGCACGCAGGCGGUCUGUCAAGUCGGAUGUGAAAUCCCCGGGCUCAACCUGGGAACUGCAUUCGAAACUGGCAGGCUAGAGUCUUGUAGAGGGGGGUAGAAUUCCAGGUGUAGCGGUGAAAUGCGUAGAGAUCUGGAGGAAUACCGGUGGCGAAGGCGGCCCCCUGGACAAAGACUGACGCCCAGGUGCGAAAGCGUGGGGAGCAAACAGGAUUAGAUACCCGGGUAGUC